GUUUUUUGAGCUUCUCAAGGAUUACUGAAAAUGAAGAGUACAUAUAAAAAAAGACAGUUCAUCAUUUCCAAAAAAGAUAUUCAUCCAGAUUGCCCUCCAAUCCGUGAAAUCUGAGAUGCCUAAGGAGUCUUCUUUGUGAAAGCCUUACAAAUAUAUCCAAAGAUGACCUAAGGAGGCCACCCUUGAGACUGAAAAAGACUGGAACUAGCAGCAUUCAAAGAAUGUCCACACCAGUCCUUCCUUUGCCAGAAAGGAUCACUAAUUAGCAAUAUCAGCAAUAUCCACACACCUUGCCAGACCCUGGGACAACACAUUUGCUCAGAGUCUGAACUUGGUUUCCUAUGUGGUAGCAUGGCCAGCCCCUACUCAGACUUGGCAACCUCAACAAAGGUACUUCAGCAGCCUCUGCAGUGCAGGGCUCUUGGGAUCUGGCUCUUAGGACUGCUGAUGGCAGCACCAGUACUGCGGUUGCAGAACAGCACACGCUCUAACAGCCUUGGCAAGUAAAACAGCAUUGGUGGAACGGUGGACUGCUGGGCUCUUGCCAUGUCAGUAGGAGUGCGGGUGCCUGGCUUCCUGCAAAGAGUGGCAAUGAUGAAUCCAACAGCCGCAGCAGCAGCAGUGCUCCAGCUGCCUCUGCAGCACAGUGCUUGUAAGCUCCGGGUAACAAAACUUUCCCUUGCUUUCUGCAGAUAUUCAUUGUUACAUACCAUUGCCACUGUCUUUCCCUUCCAUCAGACUUUCCAACACAUUUGUAACCAAUUCUCGGAUUAAAGUCUCUCUGUCUUGA